UAAAGAUUGCACUCCUCUUGAGCUGUUACUGGCUAUUGGAAGGGGCGCUUUAGGAGACAAUGAUGCACGAGCCAUGGCUAACACUGAGAAAAGCUGCUGAGAAUCUAUACUGAUUGUAUGGUGAACCACUCUGCUUCCUAACUGUGCCUCCCAGUCUGUCUGUGUCAGAGGCAAGAGGAUUGCAACAUGAUAUCUGUAACAAGACAGAAGUCAAAAAUGCAGAGAGCUGUGCAGUUAAAGAGAAAUGUAAUAAGAAGAUGAGCUGAAAAUGACGACUGCUGUCUCAAUAAGCUGCAGAAGCUCCAUUAAUGUUCAGUAUUGGAACAUACUUUUUCCCCAUCUCUAAAACAUUUGUGCUUGCACUGAGUGUCACAGCACCCUGAGUGUGUGCCUGUGUCUCCAGCAGGCUCAACACUUUGGUGGUCUCUUCCAUGAGCGGAUAGUGGCUGCUUCUUGAGAAUGUUUCACUGAAAGACAAAGCACAGGAUUGCAUAAUAUAUCUUCAGCAUGUCUCUGGGCAGGUUGCUGAUAACCUGUGUUUCAGCCCGUUCCUCCUGCUGUUUGGAGCACACAUCUGCUCUGCACACUGUAACUGAGGAGCCCACUUUCUGCACGGAGAUCAAGGGAUCUGAUGAAUGGCACAGAGACAUAAUUUAUAGGGAAGUAACCUGAGAAACAGCACUGGAAUCUUUUCACCCAUAAGUAAUGUGUCUUUUCACGUGAUUUUGAAGAUCUGAGUCUUGUGGUGAAGCACGCUAUGGUGAAAUUCCUCCCUGUGUUACCUUGGUGGACUUCUCAUGGCAAAGGCAACCCAAGGUUUACAAUCUCUUUGGAUGGAAAUGCAGAACUGAAAUACAGAAUAGCAGCCCCUUUGUUGAAAAUUGCUGCUCAGGACAGGGAAGAAAAAUCCAGGGCUAAAGCAGAAGCCCUAUGGGACUUUCUGCCCUGAGCCUGUUCUUUGUCAGAGCUGACGGCAGCAGCCUGGGUGCAUGAACCGCCCAGAUCUCAUGCC